UCAGCACAAGAUUAUCGACAGUAUUAUCGACAGUAAAUAUCUUCAUGCUGGUUAGUUGCAGUCAUCUACAGUGCUCGAGCUGCAAAGCCAGGCCAACCGCACGUGGAUCAGCUGACGCCUAAAUACUUAAGAAUAUAAAUUUCAAAAUCGCUUCUGAGCAAACACUUGGACAGGCCUAUAUAGGGAUUGAAUUAUCGGACCUUUUGAGCUUCGAAGGCCACUGACUGCUAUAACAUACCUCAAUUUUCUGCUAAACGUUCUGUCAGAUUUAUUAAACGAUUUUUUAACGCAAGAACAACAGGUUAACUUUAUAUUUAUGCAUGACGGGGCACCACCACAUAUUGCAGUAAUUGUUCGAGAACAUCUUGACAAGAUUAAGGUGACCUGUCGUCCAUCGAUGAACAAUAGUGCGACUGCUGAGCAACCUAUGGUUCUAAUAGUCGAUCGGAGAGAUUCAUCGCUAAACGAACGAGCAUUUGUGCCUGCCCACAUCAGUUGAGUACUUCUUCGCCGCCUCAUCCGAUCACCGUUAUAGUCGUAGUAUUAUUGAAUUACGAGCAAGGAAACAAUACGACGCAACUAUUAAAAAGCAUUGUUCAG